rnacentral:rRNA from 1 species
UCGAACGAUGAUCCGGUGCUUGCACCGGGGAUUAGUGGCGAACGGGUGAGUAACACGUGAGUAACCUGCCCUUAACUCUGGGAUAAGCCUGGGAAACUGGGUCUAAUACCGGAUAUGACUCCUCAUCGCAUGGUGGGGGGUGGAAAGCUUUUUGUGGUUUUGGAUGGACUCGCGGCCUAUCAGCUUGUUGGUGAGGUAAUGGCUUACCAAGGCGACGACGGGUAGCCGGCCUGAGAGGGUGACCGGCCACACUGGGACUGAGACACGGCCCAGACUCCUACGGGAGGCAGCAGUGGGGAAUAUUGCACAAUGGGCGCAAGCCUGAUGCAGCGACGCCGCGUGAGGGAUGACGGCCUUCGGGUUGUAAACCUCUUUCAGUAGGGAAGAAGCGAAAGUGACGGUACCUGCAGAAGAAGCGCCGGCUAACUACGUGCCAGCAGCCGCGGUAAUACGUAGGGCGCAAGCGUUAUCCGGAAUUAUUGGGCGUAAAGAGCUCGUAGGCGGUUUGUCGCGUCUGCCGUGAAAGUCCGGGGCUCAACUCCGGAUCUGCGGUGGGUACGGGCAGACUAGAGUGAUGUAGGGGAGACUGGAAUUCCUGGUGUAGCGGUGAAAUGCGCAGAUAUCAGGAGGAACACCGAUGGCGAAGGCAGGUCUCUGGGCAUUAACUGACGCUGAGGAGCGAAAGCAUGGGGAGCGAACAGGAUUAGAUACCCUGGGUAGUCCAUGCCGUAAACGUUGGGCACUAGGGUGUGGGGGACAUUCCACGUUUUCCGCGCCGUAGCUAACGCA